UACGUAGGGUGCAAGCGUUAAUCGGAAUUACUGGGCGUAAAGCGUGCGCAGGCGGUUGUGUAAGAAAGAUGUGAAAUCCCCGGGCUCAACCUGGGAACUGCAUUUGUGACUGCACAGCUGGAGUGCGGCAGAGGGGGAUGGAAUUCCGCGUGUAGCAGUGAAAUGCGUAGAUAUGCGGAGGAACACCGAUGGCGAAGGCAAUCCCCUGGGCCUGCACUGACGCUCAUGCACGAAAGCGUGGGGAGCAAACAGG
rnacentral:rRNA from 1 species